rnacentral:sRNA from 1 species
UGUCCCAACCAAAAGUUUCUCAGCCUUUGCCUCUUCCAUACACACGUCCCUCGUUU